GACGAACGCUAGCUACGGGCUUAACACAUGCAAGUCGAAGGGAAAGACCCUUCUUUUCUGGCGUGCUCGGGUGGCGAACGGGUGAGUGACACGUUAAUAACCUGCCCUCCACUUUGGGAUAACUUCAGGAAACUGGGGCUAAUACCGGAUUGGCGCUUCUGCUUCAUUGUGGGGGUUGGAAAGUUUGGGAGGUUGGGGAUGGACUUGCGGCGUAUCAGUCUGUUGGUGGGGUAGGGGCUUACCAAGGCUUUCACGGGUAGCCGGCCUGAGAGGGUAACCGGGCAAAUUGGGAAUGACAUACGGGCCGGAGUAGUACGGGAGACAGCAGUAGGGAAUAUUGCCUGAUGGGCGGAAGCCGGGUGCAGGAACGCCGCGUGAGGGAUGGCAGCCUUCGGGUGGAAGGCCGCAUAGGCAAGUGACGAAGCGUGAGUGACGGUAAUGUAUGAAGAAGCACCGGCUAAUUACGUG
rnacentral:rRNA from 1 species